CUAAGCGGAGGAGAAGAAACUAACCAGGAUUUCCCUAGUAACGGCGAGCGAACCGGAAAGAGCCCAGCUUGAAAAUCGUGGUGCCUCGCACCUCGAGUUGUAGUCUGGAGAAGGUCCCUCUGCGACGCGCCGGACCCAAGUUCCCUGGAAAGGGACGUCAUCGAGGGUGACAACCCCGUCCGCGCCCGGAAGGCGUCGCUCCACGAGGACCUGUCUGCGAGUCGGGCUGUUUGGGAAUGCAGCCCUAAUCCGGUGGUAAAUUCCAUCGAAGGCUAAAUAUGGGCAAGAGACCGAUAGCGAACAAGUACCGCGAGGGAAAGAUGAAAAGGACUUUGAAAAGAGAGUUAAAAAGUGCUUGAAAUUGCUGGGAGGGAAGCGAAUGGAAGCUGCGGGUGCGCCCCGGUUGGAUGUGGAACGGCUUCGGCUGGUCCGCCGCUCAACGCGGGGCGCUGGUCAGCGUGGGCCGCCGCGCCGGGACAAGAGCGGGGAUUCGCUUCCCGCCUAUGCCGGUGCGGUGGCCGAGGAACGAAGCGCGCGCCCCCCUCCGGGGGCGUGGGGCCUUCCCAACUGCGCGCUCGGGACGCUGGCGUAUUGAGCUCUUCAUCCGACCCGUCUUGAAACACGGACCAAGGAGUCUAACAUGUAUGCGAGCCGGUGGGCGGCAAACCCAUUGAGGCGCAAGUAAACUGACAGGUGGGACCCCGACCGCGAGGGAGGGAGCACCAUCGACCGACCGUGAUCUUCUGUGAAAGGUUUGAGUGUGAGCAUACCUGUUGGGACCCGAAAGAUGGUGAACUAUGCCUGAGCAGGGCGAAGCCAGAGGAAACUCUGGUGGAGGCUCGUAGCGAUACUGACGUGCAAAUCGUUCGUCAGACUUGGGUAUAGGGGCGAAAGACUAAUCGAACCAUCUAGUAGCUGGUUCCCUCCGAAGUUUCCCUCAGGAUAGCUGGAGCUCGUGUGCACAAGUUUUAUCAGGUAAAGCGAAUGAUUAGAGGCAUCGGGGGUGUAACACCCUCGACCUAUUCUCAAACUUUAAAUAGGUAAGCCGCCGGGGUUGCUUGGUUGAACCCCGGCACAGAAUGAGAGCUCCAAGUGGGCCA
rnacentral:rRNA from 1 species